GACGAACGCUGGCGGCGUGCUUAACACAUGCAAGUCGAGCGGUAAGGCCCUUUCGGGGGUACACGAGCGGCGAACGGGUGAGUAACACGUGGGUGACCUGCCCUCAGCUCUGGGAUAAGCCUGGGAAACCGGGUCUAAUACCGGAUAUGACUCCAUGACGCAUGUUGUGGGGUGGAAAGCCUUGUGCGGCUGAGGAUGGGCCCGCGGCCUAUCAGCUUGUUGGUGGGGGAUGGCCUACCAAGGCGACGACGGGUAGCCGGCCUGAGAGGGCGACCGGCUACACUGGGACUGAGACACGGCCCAGACUCCUACGGGAGGCAGCAGUGGGGAAUCUUGCGCAAUGGGCGAAAGCCUGACGCAGCGACGCCGCGUGAGGGAUGACGGCCU
rnacentral:rRNA from 1 species